GGCGCGGGCGCGGGGAGCGUGACCGUGAGGUGAGAGCGUGUGGGUGGCGGGCGGGGCGUCGCGGCGCGGGCGGAUGGGCAUCGCUUCUCGGCCUUUUGGCUAAGAUCAAGUGUAGUAUCUGUUCUUAUCAGUUUAAUAUCUGAUACGUCCUCGAUGAGAGGACUUUAUAUUAAACGGAUUUUUGGGCCUGGGAGUUGGAUCCGGAGCUUGCUCCCUCCGCUCCGCGCAUCGUCCCGGUAUUGCAGUGCCUCCGGGAACGGUGCACCCCCGCGGGGGACCUUGUAACGGUGAAAGACAGAGCUGGUUGUUUUCUUGAUUCGCUCUUUCUGUCUUGCGGGGGGAAAGCUGUGACUGCGAUGUCGGCGGCACUUCAUCGCUGCCUACCCGAAACAGAGCUCCUCCGCGGCUCCUUGGCUCUCGCUCUCUCGCUCUGCGGGACGCGCGGGGGCAUCGCUGGGCACUCUGUGCCGUGGGCCGGUUCUCCGGAGCGCGUUUUCCGCUGCGCUGCGCCUUGUCCCGGGUGAAUGUCCCGCUGCAGGGCGCCCCCGCGCGUCCCACCCACGCCGUGCACCCUUCCUCUUCUCAUCCCGUUAAAUCGGCAAACUAACAGACUCUUCAAAAACACCCCCUUGGCUUUUAAACGUAGCGUUUCUUAAGCAGCGCCGGGGCCGAGCUCGUGUCCGGGCGGGGGGAGCAGGAGCAGCCUCAUCCCGUCCCCGCUGCCCCUCGCCGCGGCCGGGCAGCUUCUGCCGCUCUCGCUGCGGGUCGGGCGGGGCCGGCCCGGGGCGCUCCUGCGGCAGCGGGCGGCUGCGGCUGCAGGGCUGCGGGGGGCUGAGCUCCCCCCGUCCCUCAGCAUCACACACGGGCGCUGCAAACGGGCCAGAAAGCAGCUGUGUGGGGGCCACAAAUGGAGACGAAGCUUUCCCUUCCCGAGGCUUGAAAAGCACGCUCCUGCGCCUGAAUUUGGGGCUCAGAAACAGGCUGAGUUGUGUCGCUUUGGGCUCAGAAACAGGGGCCAAAUCCUGCCUUUUUGGGACUCGAGAACAGGCUUGGCAGCUGGGUUUUAGGCUCAGAAAUGGGCGCUAAGGGAGCUGUCUUGGGGCAAAAAGCAGAAGGCAGUUGGGCUGGUUUUGCAGGGGCGGGAGGGCAGUGGGGGGAGCAGGGACUGGGCAGCGUGCGUGGACCCUCCCGGAGGUGGGGGUCUGGUUGGUCACCCCAAGGGCCAGGAGGCCGCGUGCACCACGGCGAGCUCAAUGUCUGAGACGCCUCUGGAAAAGGCUCUUCCGGACCCCACGCGUGCUCUGUGCGCGCUGCUCUUCUGUGUCCGCUGCCGAGAGCAGUUGUUAACUAAUUAAUCAUACAAAGUCAGCAAUAUUUAUACAAUGUACAGCUAUGGUGUUUAAUCCUAAUACUCAAUUUUUUGCCAGCAGUUCAUUUACAGCGUUGUCGAAAGCCCGGACUGCAGCAUGCAGCAGGCAGAGCCGAAAUCACCUCCCAAUUUGCCUCCUCUUUUGCCGGUGCCGCAUCCCGCGUCAGGUGAAGAAACUCCUGGGCGGUCGAUUCCACGUGCUGCUCAGUCCUCCCCAGAACGUAGUGCAUGGGUCCCAGGAUCUCUGGGACCUUACGCCGGCACCAGGGGGUUCCUGGAAGGGAGCACAGACCAUCUGACCGGCCUGGGACGCGGGUAAGACCCCAUCAGCAGGGAGAAGGCUCUUCCCAGCGGUGGUGUGCUGCGGUUUGUUCGGAUGCUGCCUACGCAAGGCGUGUGGUGACCCCAGCGCUGUAGUCAGCAAGUUUCCAAAGUCUCAGGCUAGUAGUGGAAGAGCUGACUGAGGCGCAGGCACCUGCACGGAUCGGCCUUGCCCCUGCACGUCUGCUGCUUUCCCAAGAAGCACUAGCAGCCUUGUGACCAGCGACAGUGAGUCCUGAUGUGGUUUUGGGGAGUUAUUGCUUGGAUAAUGUCCUUGUUCCUUAACCUACAGCGCGUAAUUCUGAAUUCGGCUGGAAAGAGACCUUCCAAAACGGCAGUCUUCCUCACUCCAAGAAGCUGCGUUUUAUGAACCUUCCUCAGACGGAUCUCCGGGGUGAAGUCAUCAGCAACAGGACUGUUGGCUCUCUUUAGAACCACCAGCCAACCAAAGUCCAUUCCCUUCCACGGAGCCCAGCACAGCAGGUCUUGGAAAGGCUGGUGGCACCGCUGGGCUUUGGGUUCUCGCUUGUGCGAGUCGAGAUGUCACAGAAGCGUGUUCCCCUGUGCGCGGCAGUGCAGCCGCCCGCGUUAGCGAGCCUGCCUGUCCUUCUGGUCACCCGAUGAUGGGCUGCAGCGCUGGACUCUGUCUUUAUUUUUAAUGUUUUAUUUUUAAGUAAGCCCAUAUUUCAUGUCUCACUGUUUUUUCUUUUUUCCAAUCAUAAAUGAGACUUUACAAAUGUUAGAA